AUUGAACGCUGGCGGCAGGCCUAACACAUGCAAGUCGAACGGUAACAGGAAGCAGCUUGCUGUUUCGCUGACGAGUGGCGGACGGGUGAGUAAUGUCUGGGAAGCUGCCUGAUGGAGGGGGAUAACUACUGGAAACGGUAGCUAAUACCGCAUAACGUCGCAAGACCAAAGAAGGGGACCUUCGGGCUUCUUGCCAUCGGACGUGCCCAGAUGGGAUUAGCUAGUAGGUGGGGUAACGGCCCACCUAGGCGACGAUCCCUAGCGGGUCUGGGAGGAGGAACGGCCGCACUGGAACUGAGACCAUGUCCAGACUCCUACGGGAGGCAGGAGUGGGGAAUAGUGCACACUGGGCGCAAGCCUGAUGCAGCCAUGCCGCGUGUAUGAAGAAGGCGUUCGGGUUGUAAAGUACUUUCAGCGGGGAGGAAGGGAGUAAAGUUAAUACCUUUGCUCAUUGACGUUACCCGCAGAAGAAGCACCGGCUAACUCCGUGCCAGCCGCCGCGGUAA
rnacentral:rRNA from 1 species